AAAACCAAGUCUCUAAGCAAUGGAUGUCUUGGCUCCUCACACGAUGAAGAACGUGGCAUAAUGUGUUAAGUAACCGGAGUUGCAAACAUCAUGACAGGUUAAUCUUUGAAUGCAAAUUGCGCUAAACUCGAUCUCGGUCGAGAAGCAUGGGUGUGACAGUACUACAUCUUUUAUAAUAAUUCUUAUUCUAAGCGAAUAAGUAAAUAAUAUAUAAGACAAACAACACGUAGUCUGCCAUACGCAGGAAGACCCGCUGAACUGAAGCAUCUCAUUAAGCGGAGGAAAAGAAACUAACUAGGAUUCCCUUAGUAAAGGCGAUCGAAAAGGGAACAGCCCAACGUCUUAAUCCCGCAAGGGAAAUGUAGUCGGUUCACCUAUUGCACUGGUCU
rnacentral:ncRNA from 1 species